rnacentral:rRNA from 1 species
AGCGGCGGACGGGUGAGUAACGCGUGGGUAACCUGCCCUAUACACACGGAUAACAUACCGAAAGGUAUGCUAAUACGAGAUAAUAUAAGAGAUUCGCAUGGAUUUCUUAUCAAAGCUGAGGCGGUAUAGGAUGGACCCGCGUCUGAUUAGCUAGUUGGUAAGGUAACGGCUUACCAAGGCGACGAUCAGUAGCCGACCUGAGAGGGUGAUCGGCCACAUUGGAACUGAGACACGGUCCAAACUCCUACGGGAGGCAGCAGUGGGGUAUAUUGCACAAUGGGCGAAAGCCUGAUGCAGCAACGCCGCGUGAGUGAUGAAGGCCUUCGGGUCGUAAAACUCUGUCCUCAAGGAAGAUAAUGACGGUACUUGAGGAGGAAGCCCCGGCUAACUACGUGCCAGCAGCCGCGGUAAUACGUAGGGGGCUAGCGUUAUCCGGAUUUACUGGGCGUAAAGGGUGCGUAGGUGGUCUCUUAAGUCAGGAGUGAAAGGCUACGGCUUAACCGUAGUAAGCUCUUGAAACUGGGAGACUUGAGUGCAGGAGAGGAAAGUGGAAUUCCUAGUGUAGCGGUGAAAUGCGUAGAUAUUAGGAGGAACACCAGUAGCGAAGGCGGCUUUCUGGACUGUAACUGACACUGAGGCACGAAAGCGUGGGGAGCAAACAGGAUUAGAUACCCUGGUAGUCCACGCCGUAAACGAUGAGUACUAGGUGU